CUUCAGCGAGCCGAUCCACAGGGGCGCUUGACGACUCUUGCCGUAGGUGGCGAGCAGCGCGUGGGCCUC
rnacentral:antisense_RNA from 1 species